UCAGAGGGCCAAUUGCUGUCUGGAGGUAAGUUACCGUCCACCUGGUCAGCACAGGCUGCAGAGGUGUUCGCCCUAGCCCAGGCCUGCCGCCAGUUCGCAGGUGAGGAUGUCACGAUAUUCACAGAUUCCAGGUAUGCAUUCGGGGUAUGCCAUGACCAUGGAGCCCUCUGGAAACAGAGGGGCUUCCUCACCAGCACAGGUAAACCAAUACAGCACCAUGAGUUAGUCUGAGACCUUCUUUCUGCCAUCCAACUGCCUCACUCCAUUGCUGUGGUUAAGUGUAAGGCUCACACGGGGUGCUCUGACCCGGUCAGCAUUGGUAACUUCUGGGCCGAUUGGUGGGCUAAGAGGGCAGCCUUACACACUGAUGCCCCAGUGGCGCUCAUGCCUUCACGGGUAUUACAUGACACUCACACCCUCCUUGAUGUCCAGUCGGGUGUGACAGAGGGGAAGAACACAUAGUGGAAUGGGGUUAGCUUCAUUUGAGGUGCUCACCGGGAGACCAGUGCCGCUCCCAUACCCGGGAGGCACGCUCACGUUAGAAACUGUUGAUGGCGAUUUACUACCCUAUGUGUCUAGUUUACAGAUUUCCUUGAAGAGGAUCCAUAGCCAGAUCAGGGCUGCUCAGGUCGGACCGGAGCCAAAUCAGCCAGAGACCAUAGGACCAGGAGAGUGGAUCCUGAUCAAGGACCUGCGCCGGAAGCAUUGGCAUCAACCGAGAGGAAGAAGCAACAGACAGCACGUUCUGCUGCCUCCCAUGCCCAGCUGGAAUGGACUGCUCCUGGGAACCCUUACUCCUCGGACGAGGACGACGUCAGUGUGUGAUACAAGAAUGAUUUUGUAUCAAAGGGGGGAAUGUAGUGGAAAAUUACCACCAAGCAUGAUGUCUGAUGGUUACUAAGGAAGUUAGGCUGCAAAAUAAGGUUGCUAUGCUCGAAGAAACAGAUGCAAGAGACUGGGGAGGGGGUUUUAGACCUUACCCAUGUUAAGCUAGACAAGAGAUGAAUUUUUAUUCUAUAUAUGGUAAAUAUAAGAUGCUUGUGCUAGACGAAAAGCUUGUCCUGAGCAUAGAAUGUGCAAAAGCAGACAUGGGUCUUCCGGUUGUGGUUGCAGAGAAAGGUCAUUUGUCUGUCAAUAUAAAAUGAAAGCAGCUGCGUCUGCUUUUUGGAGAACUUCUCAGAACUGUCUGCGGAGAGUCUCCCCGAGCUCGCAUAGAAAGAUAUCUCAAUAAAUGAAACCAAGCUAAA